rnacentral:snoRNA from 1 species
UGGAUCAAUGAUGAUCACUGGUGGCAUAUGAGUCAGAUGGUGAAUACGUGUCUGGAACUCUGAGGUCCAU